UACGGAGGGGGCAAGCGUUGUUCGGAAUCACUGGGCGUAAAGCGCGUGUAGGCGGUUUGGCAAGUCGGAUGUGAAAUCCCGAGGCUCAACCUCGGAACUGCACUCGAAACUGCCUGGCUUGAGUCCCGGAGAGGAUGGCGGAAUUCCCGGUGUAGGGGUGAAAUCCGUAGAUAUCGGGAGGAACACCAGUGGCGAAGGCGGCCACCUGGACGGUGACUGACGCUGAGACGCGAAAGCGUGGGGAGCAAACAGG
rnacentral:rRNA from 1 species